rnacentral:rRNA from 1 species
AUUGAACGCUGGCGGCAGGCCUAACACAUGCAAGUCGAACGAGUGGCGGACGGAUGAGUUAUGACUGGGAAACUGACUGGUGGAGGGGGAUAACUACUGGACACGGUAGCUGAAAACGCAUACCAUAAGAUGUGACCAGAUGGGAGUAGCUUGGUGGUGGGGUAACGGCUUACCAAGGCGACGAUCCCUAUCUGGUCUGAGAGGAUGAACAGCCACACUGGAACUGAGACACGGUCCAGACUCCUACGGGAGGCAGCAGUGGGGAAGAUUGCACAAUGGGCGCAAGCCUGAUGCAGCCAUGCCGCGUGUGUGAAGAAGGCCUUCGGGUUGUAAAGUACUUUCAGCGGGGAGGCGUUACCCGCAGAAUAAGCCCCGGCUAACUCCGUGCCAGCAGCCGCGGUAAUUC